GGGCACACCUAGUGUGAAAUUUUCAAAAAAUCGAUUUUUUUUUCCCCCCAUAUUUUGAUAGGUUAUACCUUUAAAAAUAACAUACUAAAAUUUUAAAUCGAUAUCUUAAAUAGUUUUUGAGUUACAGCCAUUUAAAAGAGUAGCCGCUCGGCAGUUAGAUAGUUGCAUUGGCUACGGGAUAUACCUGAAGUAAGUUUAAGCACGAUUACCUCCCACUGGAUCCAGAAGUUGAAAAAGGUCUAAAGCCUAUUUAUGAAGAUUUAUCUCGGCAUGAAUUGCUUGAUAGAUGCAAAGAUAUUUAAUGCAAUGGGAGUAAAAGUUGGACCUGCAGCAAGAGAUUAUACGGCUCUUAAGAACGAGACGAGACUACGAAUCGCUGAUCAUCGCCAACGGGCUUGUUCAAAAGAGGGUCGAUCAUCUCGAAGAAGAGCUUCUUCAGCUCAACAAGCACUUUUUGAGGAAGAGGAAGGUGAAUUAUAUGGGCCUGGAAUAGCAGAUUAGCUGUUUUAUCAACGGAGAAGGCUGCAAUCACUCUAGCAGUGGAGGACCUUUUUUUUUUGGCGCCGCCGGAGAUCGCGUGUCAUUUCAAAAAUAUUUAAUAUUUUAUUUCAAAAAUUUUACCGUGUAUUCUCAAAACAUGUAUAAAUAUACCCUCAAAAUUUUAAAUAGA